GCACUUCUGACGAGACCCAAGUAGGUCGAAACAGCUGUCUAGUGC
rnacentral:hammerhead_ribozyme from 1 species